rnacentral:tRNA from 1 species
AACUUAGAUAGUUUAAUUAAAAUUUUGAUUUGUGGUGUCAAGGAUAAAUAGUUUAUUUUCUAAGUU